GACGUAGGGCGCGAGCGUUGUCCGGAUUUAUUGGGCGUAAAGAGCUCGUAGGCGGCUUGUUGCGUCGGCUGUGAAAACCCGCGGCUUAACCGCGGGCUUGCAGCCGAUACGGGCGGGCUGGAGUUCGGUAGGGGAGACUGGAAUUCCCGGUGUAGCGGUGAAAUGCGCAGAUAUCGGGAAGAACACCCGUGGCGAAGGCGGUUCUCUGGGACGGUACUGACGCUGAGACGCGAAAGCGUGGGGAGCGAACAGG
rnacentral:rRNA from 1 species